rnacentral:tRNA from 1 species
GUCCGAGUGGCUUAAUGGUAGAGCAGUAGACUCCUAAUCUGAAGAUUGAGGGUUCGAGUCCCUCCUCGGAUG